GGGCCCAUAGCUCAGCGGUCAGAGCAGGCGACUCAUAAUCGUCUGGUCGCAGGUUCAAAUCCUGCUGGGCCCACCA
rnacentral:tRNA from 1 species